AUUGAACGCUGGCGGCAGGCCUAACACAUGCAAGUCGAGCGAGCGGCGGACGGGUGAGUAAUGUAUGGGAAACUGCCUGAUGGAGGGGGAUAACUACUGGAAACGGUAGCUAAUACCGCAUACCAUCAGAUGAACCCAUAUGGGAUUAGCUGGUAGGUAGGGUAACGGGUUACCUAGGCGACGCUCCCUAGCUGGCCUGAGAGGAUGAUCAGCCACAAUGGGACUGAGACACGGCCCAGACUCCUACGGGAGGCAGCAGUGGGGAAUAUUGCACAAUGGGCGCAAUCCUGAUGCAGCCAUGCCGCGUGUAUGAAGAAGGCCUUCGGGUUGUAAAGUACUUUCAGUGGGGAGGCGUUACCGACAGAAGAAGCACCGGCUAACUCCGUGCCAGCAGCCGCGGUAAUAC
rnacentral:rRNA from 1 species